rnacentral:rRNA from 1 species
GAUGAACGCUGGCGGCGUGCCUAAUACAUGCAAGUCGAGCGAACAGACGAGGAGCUUGCUCCUCUGACGUUAGCGGCGGACGGGUGAGUAACACGUGGAUAACCUACCUAUAAGACUGGGAUAACUUCGGGAAACCGGAGCUAAUACCGGAUAAUAUAUUGAACCGCAUGGUUCAAUAGUGAAAGACGGUUUUGCUGUCACUUAUAGAUGGAUCCGCGCCGCAUUAGCUAGUUGGUAAGGUAACGGCUUACCAAGGCAACGAUGCGUAGCCGACCUGAGAGGGUGAUCGGCCACACGGGAACUGAGACACGGUCCAGACUCCUACGGGAGGCAGCAGUAGGGAAUCUUCCGCAAUGGGCGAAAGCCUGACGGAGCAACGCCGCGUGAGUGAUGAAGGUCUUCGGAUCGUAAAACUCUGUUAUUAGGGAAGAACAAAUGUGUAAGUAACUAUGCACGUCUUGACGGUACCUAAGCAGAAAGCCACGGCUAACUACGU